rnacentral:rRNA from 1 species
AUGGUCGCUAGAGAUUUCAACUUGAUCGCGGACCCAUCCGAUAAAAGCAACAAUCGGAUCAACAGGCAGAUGAUGGGGCGGUUUAGAAGGUACAUCACAGAUCUGGACAUGCACGAGCUCUACAUCAACGGUAGGAGGUACACUUGGUCGAAUGAGAGGAUGGAACCAACGCUCGAGAAACUGGAGCGAGCUCUCGUCUCCGUGGACUGGGAGGCUAUGUACCCUACUUCCUUCCUGUCAACGCUCAUCACUAACAUCUCGGAUUAUUGCCCACUGCAUCUUGUGCUGGAGGCAAACUUGAAGCGUGGCAGGCAUUUCCACUUCGAAUCAUUCUAG